ensembl:lncRNA
GUGCCACUGACACGGCGUGCAACGAAAACAUGCGGUCUCUCCUUCACUGCAGCCGAGGUCACCAGCUGUCAGGCAGCUAGUGGAGGGAGCCGCCAUUCCUGUCUUCCUCUCCUUCUUUCCCUGUCUCCCUCGCUCCACUUCUCCAUUUGGGAGCAUGUGCCUCUCCGCUCUGGGUGCAUCAUGGGGGAACUUCAGGCUCAUGUGCUGACGAGGGGACGAGGGAGGCCUGGCUGUCUGUCACGGGGUUAUUCGCAGGGCGGAGACGGUUGAGCUGAUUCGCUGACACCGGCUGACUCGCACAACGGCUGGAAGGACCGAACAAAAGAUACGUUUUUCCCUCCAAACCUCUCC